rnacentral:rRNA from 1 species
CAAUAGCGUAUAUUAAAGUUGUUGCAGUUAAAAAGCUCGUAGUUGGAUUUCUGGUUGGAGCGACCGGUCGGGCAUUGAUUUGUCUGCACUGGAGUCGGUUCUGGCCAUCCUCUUGGAAAGUGCGUCUGUCAUUAAGUUGUCGGGCGUAUGAUCCAGGUCUUUUACUGUGAAAAAAUUAGAGUGUUUAAAGCAGGCCUUCGCCUUGAAUACAUUAGCAUGGAAUAAUAAGAUAGGACUUUGGUCUAUUUUGUUGGUUUGCAGACCGAAGUAAUGAUUAAUAGGGAUAGUUGGGGGUAUUUAUAUUCCAAUGUCAGAGGUGAAAUUCUUAGAUUUUUGGAAGAUAAACUUAUGCGAAAGCAUUUACCAAGGAUGUUUNCAUUAA